rnacentral:rRNA from 1 species
AUGGGUGACAUGGCGGUGGAUGAGCGCGGAAAUGAGUCGGAGGAGGAGACGUCCCCGAUCGAGGAGGUGCGGCUGACGGUUCCCCUUGGCGACGAUCCCACGCUGCCGGUGUGGACGUUCCGGAUGUGGAGCAUCGGGCUCUUGUCCUGCGCGCUCAUGAGCUUCCUCAACCAGUUCUUCUCCUACCGGACGGAGCCUCUCAUCAUCACCCAGAUCACGGUGCAGGUGGCGUCGCUGCCCUUGGGCCACUUCCUGGCCCGCGUGCUGCCGCGCCGGAAGUUCCGGGCGCCGGCGAUGCUCGGCGGCGGGGAGUGGAGCCUCAACCCGGGGCCCUUCAACAUGAAGGAGCACGUGCUCAUCUCCAUCUUCGCCAAUGCCGGCUACUCCUUCGGCGACGGCCAUGCCUACGCCGUUGGGAUCGUCAACAUCAUCCGCGCCUUCUACCGCCGCUCCAUCUCCUUCCUCGCCGCCUGGCUCCUCAUCACCACCACCCAGGUGCUUGGGUACGGGUGGGCCGGGUUGAUGCGCAAGUACGUGGUGGAGCCGGCGCACAUGUGGUGGCCGGGUACGCUCGUCCAGGUCUCGCUCUUCCGGGCACUGCACGAGAAGGAGGAAUCUCCCAAGGACUCAUGGCAGAUCUCCCGCUCCAAGUUCUUCCUGGUGGCGCUCAUCUGCAGCUUCGCGUGGUAUGUCGUCCCGGGCUACCUCUUCCCGACGCUGACCUCCAUCUCAUGGGUGUGCUGGGUCUUCUCAAAGUCUGUGACGGCGCAGCAGCUUGGAUCGGGGUUGAAGGGACUGGGCCUUGGAGCUUUCACACUUGACUGGUCGGCCGUCUCCUCCUUCCUCUUCAGCCCGCUCAUAUCGCCAUUCUUCGCCACUGCCAACAUCUUCGUCGGCUAUGUCUUCUUCCUUUAUGUGCUUGUGCCCAUGGCAUAUUGGGGAACGAACCUCUACAACGCCAAGACGUUCCCCAUAUUCUCCUCACACCUCUUCAUGUCUAAUGGAUCAGCCUAUCAAAUCACUGAUAUUGUGAACCAGAAGUUCCAGAUUGAUACGGAUGCGUACGCAAAGCUCGGAAGGAUAAACCUCAGCACCUUUUUUGCACUCGCUUAUGGGCUCAACUUUGCCACCAUCGCCUCAACCAUCACACACGUCGGAAUCUUCUACGGAAAAGAGAUCUACCACCGGUUUCGAGCUUCACAGCAGGAGGAGCCUGACAUCCACACAAAGCUGAUGAGGAAGUACGACGACAUACCAGCGUGGUGGUUCUAUUCGCUCAUGGUAUUGUCGAUGACAGUGUCCCUCAUCCUCUGCACCGCACUCAAGGACCAGGUUCAGCUCCCAUGGUGGGGCCUCCUGUUCGCCUGUGGCAUGGCCUUCGUCUUCACACUCCCCAUAAGCAUCAUAACUGCAACCACUAACCAGUCUCCUGGUCUGAAUGUCAUCACCGAAUAUGCCAUGGGGCUAAUAAUGCCUGGAUACCCCAUCGCCAAUGUCUGCUUCAAGGUGUACGGCUACAUGAGCAUGUUGCAGGCAGUUGCCUUCCUCUCAGAUUUCAAGCUCGGACACUACAUGAAGAUACCUCCUAGAUCAAUGUUCAUUGUUCAGUUUGCGGGUACACUGGUGGCCGGGACUGUCAACCUCAGUGUGGCAUGGUGGCUACUUGGCUCGGUCGAGAACAUCUGUCAGGACCAAUUGCUGUCACCAGACAGCCCAUGGACAUGCCCCGGCGACCGUGUCUUCUUCGAUGCAUCGGUUAUCUGGGGCCUUGUUGGCCCGAAGCGCAUUUUCGGGACACAUGGUAACUAUGAAGCUGUCAACUGGUUCUUCCUCAUAGGCGCAGCAGGCCCUGUCAUCGUGUACAUCUUCCACAGGAUAUUCCCCAGCCAGAAGUGGAUACUCAUGAUAAACCUGCCCGUGCUCAUGGGCGCAACAGCCCAGAUGCCAGCAGCGACCGCCGUGAACUACAACUCGUGGCUGCUCAUAGGCACUAUCUUCAACUUCUUUGUGUUCCGGUACCGGAAGACGUGGUGGCAGAGGUACAACUACAUCCUCUCUGGUGCACUCGACGCAGGUGUCGCGUUCAUGGCGGUGCUGCUGUACUUCACACUGACCAUGGAGAACCGGACUGUCGACUGGUGGGGCACAGGCGGUGAGCACUGCCCUCUGGCCUCAUGCCCCACUGCAAAAGGGGUAGACUUGGGCCCGGAUAGUGUGUGCCCUGUGUUCUAA